UACGUAGGGUGCAAGCAUUAAUCGGAUUUAUUGGGCGUAAAGGGCGCGUAGGCGGGGAGGCCAGUCGGAUGUGAAAUCCCGGAGCUCAACUCCGGAACAGCAUUUGAAACUACCUCUCUAGAGGGUAGGCGGAGAAAACGGAAUUCCACAAGUAGCGGUGAAAUGCGUAGAUAUGUGGAAGAACACCAGUGGCGAAGGCGGUUUUCUAGCUUAUACCUGACGCUCAAGCGCGAAAGCAAGGGGAGCAAACAGG
rnacentral:rRNA from 1 species